CACUCAUGUUUUCUCUUCAUAUCGUAUAAAUCUUUCGCCUUUUACUAAAGAUUUCCGUGGAAAGGAACAAUAAUGAGUAUUUACUAAUUUUUUGAUGCCCUGCUGACGCGGGGCU
rnacentral:snRNA from 1 species